GGGGGAAGUGGGGACAAGGGGGGAAACCCUGAUCCAGCCAUCCCGCGUGUGCGAUGAAGGCCUUCGGGUUGUAAAGCACUUUUGGCAGGAAAGAAACGUCAUGGGUUAAUACCCCGUGAAACUGACGGUACCUGCAGAAUAAGCACCGGCUAACUACGUGCCAGCAGCCGCGGGAAUACGUAGGGUGCAAGCGUUAAUCGGAAUUACUGGGCGUAAAGCGUGCGCAGGCGGUUCGGAAAGAAAGAUGUGAAAUCCCAGAGCUCAACUUUGGAACUGCAUUUUUAACUACCGGGCUAGAGUGUGUCAGAGGGAGGUGGAAUUCCGCGUGUAGCAGUGAAAUGCGUAGAUAUGCGGAGGAACACCGAUGGCGAAGGCAGCCUCCUGGGAUAACACUGACGCUCAUGCACGAAAGCGUGGGGAGCAAACAGG
rnacentral:rRNA from 1 species